GACGAACGCUGGCGGCGUGCUUAACACAUGCAAGUCGAACGGUAAGGCCCUUCGGGGUACACGAGUAGCGAACGGGUGAGUAACACGUGGGUGAUCUGCCCUGCACUUCGGGAUAAGCCUGGGAAACUGGGUCUAAUACCGGAUAGGACCCUGGGAUGCAUGUCCUGGGGUGGAAAGCUUUUGCGGUGUGGGAUGGGCCCGCGGCCUAUCAGCUUGUUGGUGGGGUGAUGGCGGACCAAGGCGACUACGGGUAGCCGGCCUGGGAGGGUGACCAGCCACCCUGGGACUGAGAUACGGCCCAGACUCCUACGGGAGGCAGCAGUGGGGAAUAUUGCACAAUGGGCGCAAGCCUGAUGCAGCGACGCCGCGGGAGGGAUGACGGCCUUCGGGUUGUAAACCUCUUUCAGCACCGACGAAGCGCAAGUGACGGUAGGUGCAGAAGAAGGACCGGCCAACUACGUGCCAGCAGCCGCGGUAA
rnacentral:rRNA from 1 species